ACCCUGGCAUCAUUUCACCAAGUAAAGUCCUUUUUCAUUCUCCGCUUGCAAGCUGAAACAACAUUCUGCAGCAUUCAUGCAUGUCCUUGCCCCUUGUUUUCUGCCAACAGAAACCACCACCACAACUCCGACCACCACCAGCACCACCCAUGAACCUACAACCGCUUCAGAUCAUGUGUCGCUUGCACCCUGGGCCCUUUCCCUGAUUGUUCUGGGCUGUAUUGGUGCAGGCAUGGCGAUCGUUGGAACAGCUUUAACAGUCUGCUACUGUCUGAAAAUGAGAAGAUCUCAACAGCAGAACACAUGUGGGUCAGGAGGAAGCUAUGUUCCACAUGCUAUGCCGUGCGGGAAAUUUUGAGAAGCCACGCAAUGGAGAUGGUAUAAUCAGAUGGGAAUGUGCCAAGUAACCGACCUGCUCGGUUGCUGCUGCUUGAAUUAACAUAUACUCAGGACAUUCUGCUUCCUACACUUUGCAGGGCUCAGAUUAUUAAUAUUUUGGAAUAAGGACCAUGCAUUUCCUGACAACCAGGCCAGGACAUCUUAACCCUUGCUGGACAUCUGCUGUGGUUCUGAGAGUCUGGUGGUUCCAGAGUCUGGUGUGCAGACUGCCUCUUAAGGUUCUAUUCUUAGCUAAUAUCCAUUCAUAUAACUUGACGUGGUGUGGAGAACCUUUGUCCCUCUGGAUCUUGUGGAACUACAACUCCCAUCAGCCCCAGCAAGCAUGGCCAAUGUCCAGGGAUGAUGGAAAUUGUAGCUCAGAAACAUCUGGAGGGACCACAACUUGUCUAACCCUUACUAUUGCCUUACUACUGUAUACCACUGGCCCUUGCCCAG